rnacentral:rRNA from 1 species
AACGUAGGACACAAGCGUUAUCCGGAGUUACUGGGCGUAAAGGGCGUGUAGGCGGAUCAAUAAGUCUAUUCUGAAAGCUCCUGGCUAAACUGGGAGAGGCGAAUGGAGACUGUUGGUCUAGAGUGAGGAAGAGGAAAGUGGAAUUCCGCGUGUAGUGGUGAAAUGCGUAGAGAUGCGGAGGAACACCGGUGGCGAAGGCGGCGUCCUGGACCAACACUGACACUGAGGAGCGAAAGCCAGGGGAGCAAACGGG